AUGGAAAAUCCAGAGGAGAAAGGCCCUGCAUAUGGAGGACAAGAUUUCACACAAGAUGGGACUGUGGAUCUCAAAGGCAGACCAAUUUUAAGAUCUAAGACUGGGAGAUGGAGAGCUUGCUCCUUCAUUGUAGGGUAUGAAAUAUUUGAAAGAUGGCAAAUCAUUGGAUUUCAGCAAACUUAGUGGUGUAUUUGACAAGGAAGCUCCAUGAAGGCACUGUACAAUCUUCAAACAAUGUCACCAACUGGUCUGGCACCUUUGGCUCACACCUAUGUUAGGUGCUUACAUUGCAGAUACAUAUCUUGGUAGAUAUAGGACCUUUGUUCUAGCAGUUUCCAUUUAUCUCAUGGGCAUGUCACUUUUAACACUAGCUGUAUCAGUGCCAGCUUUGAAGCCACCAGCUUGUAACCAUGGCAUUCAAGCAGAGGACUGCACAAAAGCUUCACCUUUUCAAGUGGGCAUCUUCUAUUGCGCAUUGUACAUGAUAGCAGUUUGGAACUGGUGGAACCAAGCCCAACAUCUCAACCAUGGGAGCAGACCAAUUUGAUGAUUUUGAGCCUAAGGAGAAGGCCCACAAGCUCUCCUUCUUCAAUUGGUGGAUGUUUGCCAUUUUCUUUGGCAACCUUUUCUCAAGCACUUUCUUGGUGUACAUACAAGAUAAUGUUGGUUGGACUCUUGGCUAUGGCAUCCCAACAGUUGGGCUUGUGAUUUCAGUGGUAGUGUUCUUGGUGGGAACCCCAUUUUACAGGCACAAAUUGCCUUCAGGAAGUCCUAUCACUAGUGUUGCUCAGAUACUAGUAGCAGCAGUUAGGAAGUGGAAAGUUCCUGUCCCAAAUCACCCAAAAGAGCUUUAUGAGUUGAGCUUGGAAUAUUAUGCAGACAAAAGCAAACUCAAAAUUGACCACACCUCAUCUUUGAGAUCACAUGACAGAGCUGCUGUGAAGAGUGGACCAAACACAACAUGGACUCCAUGUCCAGUGACCCAGGUUGAAGAAACCAAACAAAUGAUGAAGAUGAUUCCAGUUUUGCUCACAACAUUUAUACCUGCAAUCAUCAUAGCUGAGACACACACCCUUUUCAUCAAGCAAGGCACCACAUUAGAUGCUUCCAUGGGUCCCCAUUUCAAAAUCCCCCCUGCAUCUCUUGGAUCAUUCAUAACACUUUCCAUGUUGGUCAACCUCCCAAUCUAUGACCGUCUCUUCGUGCCGGCAAUCAGGCGUUACACGAAUAACCCCAGAGGAAUCACACUGCUGAAGAGAAUGGGAAUUGGGUUUGUGAUGCAAAUCAUAAUCAUGGUCAUUGCCUGUUUGGCUGUAAGAAAAAGACUCAGCGUUGCAAGAGAAAAUGGCAUCUUUGGCAAAGGAGAAAAAGUACCUCUCACAAUUUUCAUUCUGCUGCCACAGUUUGCUCUGAUGGGUGUAGCUGAUACCUUUGUGGAAGUUGCAAAGAUUGAGUUUUUCUAUGACCAAGCACCACAAGGCAUGAAGAGCAUGGGGUCUUCAUAUUUCACUACAAGUUUUGCGGUUGGGAAUUUUCUAAGUAGUUUUCUUCUAAAAACAGUUUCUGAUGUGACCAAAAGACAUGGACACAAAGGCGGCUGGGUCUUGGACAAUUUGAAUGCCUCACAUUUGGACUAUUACUAUGCAUUGUUGGCUGGCUUAGUCUUCCUUAACUUCCUAUUCUUUCUGGUUGUUGCCAAGUUCUUUGUUUAUAAUGCUGACAUCUCUCAAGCCAAGGUAGCUGUGGAAUCUUAAGAUGUGAAGACUUGAAGACUGGACUAGUUAAGCUGAUCAUGGAUUAGAAGCCUUUUUUUACGAAUAUGUUCCUUGCUUCUCAGUUAAUUAAGAUCAAAUAAAAUCCAACUAAUUUCUUUUGGUC